GGAGAGUUUGAUCCUGGCUCAGGACGAACGCUGGCGGCGUGCUUAACACAUGCAAGUCGAACGAUGAAGUGGAGCUUGCUCCACGGAUUAGUGGCGAACGGGUGAGGAACACGUGAGAAACCUGCCUCGGAUUUUGGGAUAACAAAUGGAAACGUUUGCUAAUACCAAAUAACGUCGGAGAGUCACAUGACUUUCUGACGAAAGGAAUUCCGAUUCGAGAGGGUCUCGCGGCCUAUCAGCUUGUUGGUGGGGUAAUGGCCUACCAAGGCAACGACGGGUAGCUGGUCUGAGAGGAUGGUCAGCCACACUGGGACUGAGACACGGCCCAGACUCCUACGGGAGGCAGCAGUGGGGAAUCUUGCGCAAUGGGCGAAAGCCUGACGCAGCCAUGCCGCGUGAAUGAUGAAGGUCUUAGGAUUGUAAAAUUCUUUCACCGGGGAAGAUAAUGACGGUACCCGGAGAAGAAGCCCCGGCUAACUUCGUGCCAGCAGCCGCGGUAAUACGAAGGGGGCUAGCGUUGCUCGGAAUUACUGGGCGUAAAGGGAGCGUAGGCGGAUAGUUCAGUCAGAGGUGAAAGCCCAGGGCUCAACCUUGGAAUUGCCUUUGAUACUGGCU
rnacentral:rRNA from 1 species